UUCAAUUGGUAUCAGACAGACACUUGGCCCACAUCAAUAUUGAAGGCAACUCGAGUUCUAAAUGCAAUACUCUUGAAGUCACACAACAAUGUGAAAGCCUUAAUCCCAACAAUAUGAGACACAAUUCAAGACUUACUUUCUGAGGUCCCAGAUUCGUAAUGUUUUGUCCAGUGAGCUGGAAACAAGAAAAUGAUCCUCCGGAGCAGCCAGCUGUAGGAUGACCAGUUCAAAUACUCCGCUACCAUAAUCCCAUACCUGAGAGAACCAUUUCCAGUGCCAACUACAA